rnacentral:rRNA from 1 species
GUAGGUGGCAAGCGUUGUCCGGGAAUUAUUGGGGCGUAAAGCGCGCGCAGGCGGUUCUUUUAAGUCUGAUGUGAAAGCCCACGGGCUCAACCGUGGAGGGUCAUUGGAAACUGGAGAACUUGAGUACAGAAGAGGAAAGCGGAAUUCCACGUGUAGCGGUGAAAUGCGUAGAGAUGUGGAGGAACACCAGUGGCGAAGGCGGCUUUCUGGUCUGUAACUGACGCUGAGGCGCGAAAGCGUGGGGAGCAAACAGGAUUAGAUACCCUGGGAGUCCACGCCGUAAACGAUGAGUGCUAAGUGUUAGGGGGUUUCCGCCCCUUAGUGCUGCAGCUAACGCAUCAAGCACUCCGCCUGGGGAGUACGGCCGCAAAGGCUG